UACGUAGGGUGCGAGCGUUGUCCGGAAUUAUUGGGCGUAAAGAGCUCGUAGGCGGUGUGUCGCGUCGGCCGUGAAAACUCACAGCUUAACUGUGGGCGUGCGGGCGAUACGGGCAGACUGGAGUACUGCAGGGGAGACUGGAAUUCCUGGUGUAGCGGUGGAAUGCGCAGAUAUCAGGAGGAACACCGGUGGCGAAGGCGGGUCUCUGGGCAGUAACUGACGCUGAGGAGCGAAAGCGUGGGGAGCGAACAGG
rnacentral:rRNA from 1 species